GACAGAGGGUGCAAACGUUGUUCGGAAUUACUGGGCGUAAAGCGCGUGUAGGCGGCUAAGUAAGUCGGGCGUGAAAUCCCACGGCUCAACCGUGGAAGUGCACUCGAAACUGCAUAGCUAGAGUCCUGGAGAGGAAGGUGGAAUGCUUGGUGUAGAGGUGAAAUGCGCAGAUAUCAGGAGGAACACCAAUGGCGAAGGCAGCUCGCUGGAACGGUACUGACGCUGAGGCGCGAAAGCGUGGGGAGCGAACAGG
rnacentral:rRNA from 1 species